GCCAGACGUUGAUUUUGAGGUUCAAAGAGACAGCGUUAGAGAUGUAGAUUCACUGAUCUCCAAACAAAAGGCUACAGGAAGCCAGCCAUUGACCAGACCUCCUGGGAGGAUGAAGGUGGGCGGCCACUCCGGAGCGCUUCGGCAAGUUCAGUCGCUCAGUUGUGUCCACCUGUGACCCCAUGGACUGCAGCACUCCAGGCCUCCAUCACCAACUCCCGGAGCUUGCUCAAACUCAUAUCCAUUGAGUCGGUGAUGCCAUCCAGCCAUCUCAUCCUCUGUCAUCCGCUUUUCCUCCCGCCUUCAAUCUUUACCAGCAUCAGGGUCUUUUCUGAUAAGUCAGUUCUUUACAUCAAGUGGCCAAAGUAUUGGAGCUUCAGCAUCAGUCCUUCCAAUGAAUAUUCAGGACUGAUUUCCUUUAGGAUUGACUGGUUGGAUCUCCUUACAGUCCAAGGGACUCUCAAGAGUCUCCUCCAACACCACAGUUCAAAAGCAUUAAUGCUUCGGUGCUCAGCUUCCUUUAUAGUCCAACUCUGACAUCCAUACAUGACUACUGGAAAAAAAACAUAACUUUGACUAGACGGACCUUUGUUGGCAAAGAAACGUCUCUGCUUUUUAAUAUGCUGUCUAGGUUUGUCAUAGCUUUUCUUCCAAGGAGCAAGCGUCUUUUAAUUUCAAGCCUGCGGUCACCAUCUGCAUUCAUUUUGCAGCCCAAGAAAAUAAAGUGUGUCACUGUUUCCGUUGUUUCCCUAUCUAUUUGCCAUGAAGUAAUGGGACCAGAUGCCAUGAUCUUUGUUUUCUGAAUGUUG